rnacentral:rRNA from 1 species
AGGACGAACGCUGGCGGCGUGCUUAACACAUGCAAGUCGAGCGGAAAGGCCCUUCGGGGUACUCGAGCGGCGAACGGGUGAGUAACACGUGAGUAAUCUGCCCCUAGCUCUGGGAUAGCUCCGGGAAAACCGGGAUUAAUACCGGAUACGACCACCUUAGACAUCUUUUGUGGUGGAAAGAAUUUCGGCUAGGGAUGAGCUCGCGGCCUAUCAGCUUGUUGGUGGGGUAACGGCCUACCAAGGCGACGACGGGUAGCCGGCCUGAGAGGGCGACCGGCCACACUGGGACUGAGACACGGCCCAGACUCCUACGGGAGGCAGCAGUGGGAAUAUUGCGCAAUGGGCGAAAGCCUGACGCAGCGACGCCGCGUGGGGGAUGAAGGCCUUCGGGUUGUAAACCCUUUCAGCAGGGACGAAGCGAAAGUGACGGUACCUGCAGAAGAAGCGCCGGCUAACUACGCGACAGCAGCCGC